CUGGAAACUGGGGCUAACUCUUGAUAGGCGAAGAACUCUGGAAUGAGCCUUUACCUAAAUAGAUUCACGUUAUCCUCGUGAACCUGCCUAAGGAUGAGGCCGCGACCGAUCAGGUUGUUGGCGAGGUAAUGGCUCACCAAGCCUUUUACCGGUGCGGGCCGUGGGAGCGGGAGCCCGGAGAUGGGUACUGAGACAAGGACCCAGGCCCUACGGGGCGCAGCAGUCGCGAAACCUUUGCAAUAAGCGAAAGCUUGACAGGGCUAUCCCGAGUGCCAUCCGCUGAGGAAGGCUUUUACCCAGUCUAGAACGCUGGGGGAAUAAGGAGAGGGCAAGUCUGGUGUCAGCCGCCGCGGUAAUACCAGCUCUCCGAGUGGUGUGGAUGUUUAUUGGGCCUAAAGCAUCCGUAGCUGGCUAAGUUAGUCCCUUGUUAAAUCCACCGAAUUAAUCGUUGGAUCGCGGGGGAUACUGCUUGGCUAGGGGACGAGAGAGGCAGACGGUAUUUUCGGGUUAGGGGUGAAAUCCUAUAAUCCCGGGAAGACCACCACUGGCGCAGGCUGUUUGUAGAACGCGCCCGACGGUGAGGGAUGAAAGCUGGGGGAGCGAACCGGAUUAGAUACCCGGGUAGUCCCAGCUGUAAACGAUGCAGACUAGUUGUCUGGACGGCCACGUGCCGUUCUAGUGCCGCA
rnacentral:rRNA from 1 species